rnacentral:rRNA from 1 species
AGGAUGAACGCUGGCGGCGUGCUUAACACAUGCAAGUCGAACGAUGAAGGCUGGAGCUUGCUCUGGCUGGAUUAGUGGCGAACGGGUGAGUAACACGUGAGUAACCUGCCCCAGACUCUGGGAUAAGCGCUGGAAACGGCGUCUAAUACCGGAUACGAGCUUCCACCGCAUGGUGAGGAGCUGGAAAGAAUUUCGGUCUGGGAUGGACUCGCGGCCUAUCAGCUUGUUGGUGAGGUAAUGGCUCACCAAGGCGACGACGGGUAGCCGGCCUGAGAGGGUGACCGGGCCACACUGGGACUGAGACACGGCCCAGGACUCCGACGGGAGCAGCAGUGGGAAUAGUUGCAACAAGUGGGACGCAAGCCUGAUGCAGCAACGCGCGUGAGGACGAAGGCUCGGUGUAACUACUUUAGUAGGAAG